rnacentral:rRNA from 1 species
CUACGGGGCGCUGCAGUGGGGAAUAUUGGACAAUGGGGGCAACCCUGAUCCAGCCAUGCCGCGUGUGUGAAGAAGGCCUUAGGGUUGUAAAGCACUUUCAGAAGUGAGGAAAGGUUGGUAGUUAAUACCUGCCAGCUGUGACGUCAACUUCAGAAGAAGCACCGGCUAACUCCGUGCCAGCAGCCGCGGUAAUACGGAGGGUGCAAGCGUUAGUCGGAAUUACUGGGCGUAAAGCGCGCGUAGGCGGCAAGUUAAGUCGGAUGUGAAAGCCCCGGGCUCAACCUGGGAAUUGCAUUCGAUACUGGCUUGCUCGAGUUUUGCAGAGGAGUGUGGAAUUUCCGGUGUAGCGGUGAAAUGCGUAGAGAUCGGAAGGAACAUCAGUGGCGAAGGCGACACUCUGGGCAAAAACUGACGCUGAGGUGCGAAAGCGUGGGUAGCAAACAGGAUUAGAUACCCCCGUAGUC